rnacentral:rRNA from 1 species
UGUCACUAGUUACCAGCGGGUAAGUGCCGGGGACGUCUAGUGAGACUGCCUGUGUUAAGGCAGGAGGAAGGCGUGGAUGACGUCAAGUCCGUAUGGCCUUUAUAUCCAGGGCUGCACACGUGCUACAAUGGCCGGUACAAUGGGUCGCAAUACCGCAAGGUGGAGCCAAUCCUCAAAACCGGCCCUAGUUCAGAUUGCAGUCUGCAACUCGACUGCAUGAAGCUGGAAUCGCUAGUAAAUGCGUAUCAGCUACGACGCAUUGAAUACGUUCCCGGGCCUU